rnacentral:rRNA from 1 species
GACACAUUGACCCUUCGGGUGANUUGUUGGGCGUCGAGCGGCGGACGGGUGAGUAAUGCCUGGGAAAUUGCCCUGAUGUGGGGGAUAACCAUUGGAAACGAUGGCUAAUACCGCAUAAUGUCUACGGACCNNAGAGGGGGACCUUCGGGCCUCUCGCUUCAGGAUAUGCCCAGGUGGGAUUAGCUAGUUGGUGAGGUAAUGGCUCACCAAGGCGACGAUCCCUAGCUGGUCUGAGAGGAUGAUCAGCCACACUGGAACUGAGACACGGUCCAGACUCCUACGGGAGGCAGCAGUGGGGAAUAUUGCACAAUGGGCGCAAGCCUGAUGCAGCCAUGCCGCGUGUAUGAAGAAGGCCUUCGGGUUGUAAAGUACUUUCAGUCGUGAGGAAGGCGUUGGAGUUAAUANNUUCNUCGUUUGACGNNAGCGACAGAAGAAGCACCGGNUAACUCCGUGCCAGCAGCCGCGNNAAUACGGAGGGUGCGAGCGNUNANUCGNAANUACUGGNCGUAAAGCGCAUGCAGGUGGUUUGUUAAGUCAGAUGUGAANAGCCCCGGNGCUCNACCCUCGGAACCGCAUUUGAAACUGGCA